rnacentral:misc_RNA from 1 species
UCGCAGCCGUGCAGGAGUGGCUGCCGCACGAUCGCGCGCACGCGGUUGCUGGCGCGCCGCCGCGAGUUGAUCCGGUACUCGAGACACUCCCUACACGUUACGUCACGCCGACGCCGGAUCGAGUCGGUCGCGCUGCCUGCCGAGCGCUGCGCGUGUGUGUGUGUUGCGUUGGAGGAUUAAGCGGCGUCGACGGCGAAACGACGCGCGUCGGAUGUGCACGCCUCUGUUUUAACCUGCUGCUGCUUCAGCAGAGGGAGAACAAUGUCCAUGUAGUGUCGUGCCUGUGUCUGCAACGCUGACGCGCAUGCGCGAGCCCCGUGCGCGUUUGUUCGGUUCACCAGCGAACCCAAGUGGCCCCCGAAGCUGCAACCAGAGGCAUAUAGAUACGCCUCGCAAGGUGCGCUCGUCGAACAUCGUCGCCUGACUUCCCAACGCGCCUCCGUCAAGACCUGCUGGCGAAGACGCCACGAUGCGUUGAACUGAGUUGCUCUACGGCUGUAGCGACGACUGCGACAACUGAACGGACGGCGGCUGGACGAAGGUUAUUCUCGAACGCAAAACUCUCCAGCCAAUCAUAUUGCAUGGUGGGCCCUCUGGCGGUAAUGAGGACGUCGCCGGACGAAGUUGACGCAAAGGGGCAGUGACACACCUGAACCACUACGACCUGGCGGCGCAGGUGUACUUCCCGGCGGCGCCGGCGGAGAGCGCGUACGGACCUCCCGCGGCCAUCUCGUUCCCGG